rnacentral:rRNA from 1 species
GAACGAGGAUAUAUCCUUCGGGAUAUAAGCCGAGUGGCGCAAGGGUGAGUAAUGCAUAGAUUACCUGCCUCUAGGAUAAGGACAACUUUGUGAAAACGAAGCUAAUACUUAAUAGCACAAGAGAAAAUAAUUUUCUUUUGUCAGUGGGAGGGUAGCAAUACCUUUUGCCUAGAGAGGGGUUUAUGUCCUAUCAGCUUGUUGGUGGGGUAAUGGCCUACCAAGGCGAAGACGGGUAGCCGGUCUUAGAGGAUGGUCGGCCACACUGGGACUGAGACACUGCCCAGACUUCUACGGAAGGCUGCAGUCGAGAAUCUUUCGCAAUGCCCGAAAGGGUGACGAAGCGACGCCGCGUGAGUGAGGAAGGCCUUCGGGUUGUAAAGCUCUGUCAGGAGUUAAGAAAUGUAAGUGUGCUAAUACCACAUUUACUUGACGAAGGCUCCAAAGGAAGCCACGGCUAACUCUGUGCCAGCAGCCGCGGUAAUACAGAGGUGGCAAGCGUUGUUCGGAAUUAUUGGGCGUAAAGAGCACGUAGGUGGGUUUGUAAGUCAGAUGUGAAAGCCUUCUGUUCAACGGAAGAAUUGCAUCUGAAACUGCAAGUCUUGAGUGUAGGAGGGGGGAAUGGAACUUCUGGUGGAGCGGUGAAAUGCGUAGAUAUCAGAAGGAACGCCGGCGGCGAAAGCGAUUCUCUGGCCUAUUACUGACACUCAGUGUGCGAAAGCUAGGGGAGCAAACGGGAUUAGAUACCCCGGUGGUCCUAGCCGUAAACGAUGGGCACUAAGUAGAGGGAAUUACCGAUGUUCUCUCUGCCGUAGCUAACGCAUUAAGUGCCCCGCCUGGGGAGUACGGCCGCAAGGCUAAAACUCAAAAGAAUUGACGGGGGCUCGCACAAGCGGUGGAGCAUGUGGCUUAAUUCGAUGCAACGCGAAAAGCCUUACCGGGGCUUGACAUGAUAGAAGUAGGAACCUGAAAGGGGGACGAACGGUAUCCAGUCCGUAGCUAUUACAGGUGUUGCAUGGCUGUCGUCAGCUCGUGUCGUGAGACGUUGGGUUAAGUCCCCUAACGAGCGAAACCCUUGUUUUUAGUUACCAGCGGGUUAUGCCGGGUACUCUAGAAAGACUGCCGUCGUCAAGACGGAGGAAGGUGGGGGUGACGUCAAGUCAUCAUGGCCCUUAUGCCCCGGGCUGCACACGUGCUACAAUGGUCGGUACAGACGGAAGCGAAGCCGAGAAGUGAAGCGAAUCCUAAAAAGCCGAUCUCAGUUCGGAUUGGAGGCUGAAAUUCGCCUCCAUGAAGUUGGAAUCGCUAGUAAUCGCGGAUCAGCAAUGUCGCGGUGAAUAUGUUCCCGAGCCUUGUACACACCGCCCGUCAAGCCACCCAAGCAGGAUGCACCCGAAAACAUUAUAUCUAACCAGGGCAACUUGGAGGAAAAUGUUGAAGGAGUGUUUUGUGA